rnacentral:lncRNA from 1 species
GUUUUCGCCGCGACGAUUCGAAAUGAAACGAAGAAAUUAGCAGAAGUGAAGGUCACCGGAGAAGUGAGUGAGGAUUUUACCACUGGAACUAGAGAGCUAGGCUCUGACUGGUCUACUACAGCAAGGAAUGUGCCAGGGGCCAAUCUGAUGAACAUGUGGCAGAAGAUUUGGCAAUGGUGAAGAAACACUUGAGAUUGAAAUGCAACCACAGGUGGAGGCUUCACCCAAACUUUUCAGACGGAUGCGAGAUACAAAGUUACCCAAGUAUAAAUGGUUGAAGGUUUUGGAGAGCCAGACAAGAAGGCAGGAAAUGUGAUGUCACUUUUACUUCAAUAAACAUGAACAGCAGCAGGAGCAACAACAGCAUCAGCAGCCGAAACCUCAACUGCAAUAAGAGAUGCAGCAACCGCACCGACAACAUCAAGAGCAACAGCAAAAAUACCUACAUGUAUUGCAGCAGAAAUGCAACAAUCACAUUGGCAACAUCAACAGCAGCAGGAGCUCCAACAACCAUGCAGGGAACAUCGGGCGCAACAUAAAUAUCUUCAUCAAGAGAUGCAACAACCACAGUGAUAAACAUCAACAGCAGUAGCGACAACGACAGUAGAAACAAAGCCAAUGUCAAGGAUUAAGCAAUCAUACAGGAAACAACACAAGCGGCAACA